GGUAAAUAUGAACUUAAUUAGGGGGUAAAAUGAAAAAGGAUUGAAUGUAAAGGAAAAACAUGCACGCCAAUGAACAUGCCCAGCCCAAAUGUCAGGAAAUGCUAUACCCCUUAUUCUCUGGGUUUGCAAUUCAAUUUUGCAAGGUUUUGAAUUUGAUAUUACCUAGAUGAAUUUCAACAACUGCUAGAUCAAAAACUCAUUUAUUUAUGCACAGAAUGCUACAGUGUUAUUGAAGAAC
rnacentral:misc_RNA from 1 species